ACUCNUACGGGAGGCAGCAGUGGGGAAUUUUGGACAAUGGGGGCAACCCUGAUCCAGCCAUCCCGCGUGUGCGAUGAAGGCCUUCGGGUUGUAAAGCACUUUUGGCAGGGAAGAAACGGCGCUGAUUAAUACUUGGCGCAACUGACGGUACCUGCAGAAUAAGCACCGGCUAACUACGUGCCAGCAGCCGCGGUAAUACGUAGGGUGCAAGCGUUAAUCGGAAUUACUGGGCGUAAAGCGUGCGCAGGCGGUUUGGAAAGAAAGAUGUGAAAUCCCAGAGCUUAACUUUGGAACUGCAUUUUUAACUGCCAAGCUAGAGUAUGUCAGAGGGGGGUAGAAUUCCACGUGUAGCAGUGAAAUGCGUAGAGAUGUGGAGGAAUACCGAUGGCGAAGGCAGCCCCCUGGGAUAAUACUGACGCUCAUGCACGAAAGCGUGGGGAGCAAACAGGAUUAGAUACCCUGGUAGUCCACGCCCUAAACGAUGUCAACUAGCUGUUGGGGCCUUCGGGCCUUAGUAGCGCAGCUAACGCGUGAAGUUGACCGCCUGGGGAGUACGGUCGCAAGAUUAAAACUCAAAGGAAUUGACGGGGACCCGCACAAGCGGUGGAUGAUGUGGAUUAAUUCGAUGCAACGA
rnacentral:rRNA from 1 species